rnacentral:misc_RNA from 1 species
GAACUGCGAUAAGUAAUGUGAAUUGCAGAAUUCAGUGAAUCAUCGAGUCUUUGAACGCACAUUGCGCCCCCUGGCAUUCCGGGGGGCAUGCCUGUCCGAGCGUCAUUGCUGCCCUUCAAGCCCGGCUUGUGUGUUGGGUCGUCUUCCCCUCCGGGGGACGGGCCCGAAAGGCAGCGGCGGCACCGCGUCCGGUCCUCGAGCGUAUGGGGCUUUGUCACCCGCUCGAUAAGGACCGGCCGGGCGCCAGCCGGCGUCUCCAACCUUUUUUUCUCAGGUUGACCUCGGAUCAGGUAGGGAUACCCGCUGAACUUAAGC